AAUGCGAUAAGUAAUGUGAAUUGCAGAAUUCAGUGAAUCAUCGAAUCUUUGAACGCACCUUGCGCUCCUUGGUAUUCCGAGGAGCAUGCCUGUUUGAGUGUCAUUAAAUUCUCAACCUUAUCAGCUUUUGUUGAUAAUGGCUUGGAUGUGGGGGUUUAUUGCUGGCUUCUAAUGAGGUUGGCUCCCCUUAAAUACAUUAGCUGGUUGCCUUGUGCAGACUUGUCUAUUGGUGUGAUAAUUAUCUACGCUGUGGACUUUCUGCCAGUAUAUAGCAUCGCUUCUAACUGUCUAUUAACUUGGACAACAUAUGACAAUUUGACCUCAAAUCAGGUAGGACUACCCGCUGAACUUAAGCAUAUCAAUAAGCGGAGGAAAAGAAACUAACAAGGAUUCCCCUAGUAACUGCGAGUGAAGCGGGAAAAGCUCAAAUUUAAAAUCUGGCGGUCUUUGGCUGUCCGAGUUGUAAUCUAGAGAAGUGUUAUCCGCGCUGGACCGUGUACAAGUCUCCUGGAAUGGAGCGUCAUAGAGGGUGAGAAUCCCGUCUUUGACACGGACUGCCAGGGCUUUGUGAUGCGCUCUCAAAGAGUCGAGUUGUUUGGGAAUGCAGCUCAAAAUGGGUGGUAAAUUCCAUCUAAAGCUAAAUAUUGGCGAGAGACCGAUAGCGAACAAGUACCGUGAGGGAAAGAUGAAAAGAACUUUGGAAAGAGAGUUAAACAGUACGUGAAAUUGCUGAAAGGGAAACGCUUGAAGUCAGUCGCGUUGUCUGGGGAUCAACCUUGCUUUUGCUGGGCGUACUUUCCAGAUGAUGGGUCAGCAUCAAUUUUGACCGUUGGAUAAAGUCUGGAGGAAUGUGGCAUCUUCGGAUGUGUUAUAGCCUCUAGUUGCAUACAACGGUUGGGAUUGAGGAACUCAGCACGCCGCAAGGCCGGGUACUUGUACCACGUUCGUGCUUAGGAUGCUGGCAUAAUGGCUUUAAUCGACCCGUCUUGAAACACGGACCAAGGAGUCUAACAUGCCUGCGAGUAUUUGGGUGGAAAACCCGAGUGCGUAAUGAAAGUGAAAGUUGAGAUCCUUGUCAUGGGGAGCAUCGACGCCCGGACCAGACCUUUUGUGACGGAUCUGCGGUAGAGCAUGUAUGUUGGGACCCGAAAGAUGGUGAACUAUGCCUGAAUAGGGUGAAGCCAGAGGAAACUCUGGUGGAGGCUCGUAGCGAUUCUGACGUGCAAAUCGAUCGUCAAAUUUGGGUAUAGGGGCGAAAGACUAAUCGAACCAUCUAGUAGCU
rnacentral:rRNA from 1 species